rnacentral:rRNA from 1 species
UACGUAGGAGGCAAGCGUUGUCCGGAGUUACUGGGCGUAAAGCGCACGCAGGCGGUCCAAUCAGUCUGUAGGGACAGGGCACAGCUUAACUGUGUCAGGCCUAUGGAAACUGUUGGACUUGAGGGCUUCAGAGGGAUGGGGAAUUCCGGGUGGAGUGGUGAGAUGCGUAGAGAUCCGGAAGAACACCAAAGGCGUAGGCACCAUCCUGGGAAGUCACUGACGCUCAUGUGCGAAAGCUAGGGGAGCGAACGGG